AGGACUGUCCAACCUGAGAAUGGUGAGUCUCCAGGGUCAGUCUCAGGUUUGUCAGCCCAUG
rnacentral:pre_miRNA from 1 species